CUGAUAUGGAAAAGUUAAGAAUGAUCACCCAACCUCUAAUCCGACCACUUACCUCAGGUCUUUUCUGUUGUCUUGGUUACCUGUUGAUGUCAUUAAGUGUUGGGAGACCCUCACUGAGACUGAAAGCAAGAGGUCAGUCGUGUGGUCUUCACCGUACCUCCGCCUUAACAAGCCCCUGGGCUGCACUCAGAGGGAAGCUGCACAUCAUGCACGUCGUUCCAUGCUUCAGCUGGAGAUAUUCGCCACAUGUUGUGAAAUGACCAGCAAACAUCUUUCCUCUCCCUCUCUCCCCUCCAACACUGCCUGCGACACAGAAAUCAAUUAACUCCUUUCAAGUCAGAUCAAAGACCCAAUGCACCGGCCAGGUCUUACUGAGACCUCUGGGACAAUUAAGUCUCCCUUUGGACAGUGACGGGGCCGCAGAGACACAGGCGGGCCGCUGCCACUGUUCGCCGACGUGUGAAGUUUCCGUAAACAACUAGGAUGAUAACAAAAGGGAAUAUUUUUGUUGCACGAUAAUCAAUAAUGACAUUUACAAAUAGCUCUCUUGCAAAAUGAUCUUACUCCCAGUUAUCCUACAGAAUUUGCACUUUGACUUUGAAUGGUCAUUUGCCUCGUGUAAAGAUAACACACCUAUAGUGCAGCACCCUUAAAGAUACAUACCCUAAGGUAAAUUAUUAGAGACUCUAGAUGCCACUCUUUGUCUCAGUUUCAAACUGUUUAUAGUUCUGGACAAGUUCCAGAAAGCGAUAAUUUUCUUGUAGUCAUUUCUGGACCUGAGAAACCCAACACAUAUCUGACUUUUUUGAAUUGGAUGGAGAUUUUAUUAUGUCUUACCCAUUUUGAAAAGUGGCGAUUUGGCCUCGGGGUCAAUGUUUGUUAUUGACCAAUAAUAAGCAUUUGUUGUAUUUGUGAAAAGAUUUUUAAAAAGUAGAGAUUUCAUUGGUUUCAUGGACCACCUUGGGUCGAGAGAAACAUGAAAAGUCGUACGUAUCUGCUGAACUGAACUGAAGUAUUCUGCAGCGCUUUUCAGAUAAGCUAGUCUAAUGUUUCUGAUAUAAAAUAAAAGUGAAUUUCAGUAGGUA